CUGGGAUAAGCGCUGGAAACGGCGUCUAAUACUGGAUACGAACAAGAAUCGCAUGGUUACUUGUUGGAAAGAUUUUUCGGUUGGGGAUGGGCUCGCGGCCUAUCAGCUUGUUGGUGAGGUAAUGGCUCACCAAGGCGUCGACGGGUAGCCGGCCUGAGAGGGUGACCGGCCACACUGGGACUGAGACACGGCCCAGACUCCUACGGGAGGCAGCAGUGGGGAAUAUUGCACAAUGGGCGCAAGCCUGAUGCAGCAACGCCGCGUGAGGGAUGACGGCCUUCGGGUUGUAAACCUCUUUUAGCAGGGAAGAAGCGAGAGUGACGGUACCUGCAGAAAAAGCACCGGCUAACUACGUGCCAGCAGCCGCGGUAAUACGUAGGGUGCAAGCGUUAUCCGGAAUUAUUGGGCGUAAAGAGCUCGUAGGCGGUUUGUCGCGUCUGCUGUGAAAUCUGGGGGCUCAACCCCCAGCCUGCAGUGGGUACGGGCAGACUAGAGUGCGGUAGGGGAGAUUGGAAUUCCUGGUGUAGCGGUGGAAUGCGCAGAUAUCAGGAGGAACACCGAUGGCGAAGGCAGAUCUCUGGGCCGUAACUGACGCUGAGGA
rnacentral:rRNA from 1 species